rnacentral:rRNA from 1 species
AUUGAACGCUGGCGGCAGGCCUAACACAUGCAAGUCGAGCGGAUGAAGGGAGCUUGCUCCUGGAUUCAGCGGCGGACGGGUGAGUAAUGCCUAGGAAUCUGCCUGGUAGUGGGGGAUAACGUCCGGAAACGGGCGCUAAUACCGCAUACGUCCUGAGGGAGGAAGUGGGGGAUCUUCGGACCUCACGCUAUCAGAUGAGCCUAGGUCGGAUUAGCUAGUUGGUGGGGUAAAGGCCUACCAAGGCGACGAUCCGUAACUGGUCUGAGAGGAUGAUCAGUCACACUGGAACUGAGACACUGUCCAGACUCCUACGGGAGGCAGCAGUGGGGAAUAUUGGACAAUGGGCGAAAGCCUGAUCCAGCCAUGCCGCGUGUGUGAAGAAGGUCUUCGGAUUGUAAAGCACUUUAAGUUGGGAGGAAGGGCAGUAAGUUAAUACCUUGCUGUUUUGACGUUACCAACAGAAUAAGCACCGGCUAACUUCGUG